CCCUAAAAAAGUGGGAUUGCUGAGUGCUAAAAUCACUUCACUUUAUGAUGUCCUGUUACAUCCUGUCCACCCUCUUUGAGCGCACCACCAUUCAAUGACCCCAUUUUGACUUUUGCGUGGAUUCGGCCUUCUUUUUUCUUGCGUGUAUGGUUGUUCCCACAUGUGGCUGUUAUGAGCAGAAAAUUUAAAACCUCCAUUUAUGAAGAUCUGUUUAGUUGUGUGUGUCUGCCACGUCCCAGGCCCUGCCCGCCAUGCUGGGGAUGCAGCAGAGCUGUUCUGCCCACAUGGAGCUUCCAUUCUCUUGGGAGAAAACGACAGCAACUGAACAAAGCUCA
rnacentral:lncRNA from 1 species